AGGUGCGAUCAUACCAGCAUUAAUUCACCAGAUCCCAUCAGAACUCCGCAGUUAAGCGCGCUUGGGCCAGAGUAGUACUGGGAUGGCUGACCUCCUGGGAAGUACUGGUGUUGCACCUU
rfam:Picea glauca, whole genome shotgun sequence.